rnacentral:misc_RNA from 1 species
UCUCCGUAGGUGAACCUGCGGAGGGAUCAUUACAGAGUUUUUGCCCGCAAGGGUAGAUCUCCCACCCUAUGUUAUUCCUUCUCUGUUGCUUUGGCGAGCCGUCCGGCCUCGGUCAGGCCACCGGCUCCGGCUGGUGCGCGCCCGCCAGAGGACCCCAAACCCUAAAUGUCAGUGUCGUCUGAGUACUAUAUAAUAGUUAAAACUUUCAACAACGGAUCUCUUGGUUCUG